AUUUUCUUAGUAUAAAAAGUACAGGUGACUUCCAAUUACCCAGCCCCGGUUCAACCCCGAGAGAAAAUA
rnacentral:tRNA from 1 species